rnacentral:misc_RNA from 1 species
AAGUCGUAACAAGGUUUCCGUAGGUGAACCUGCGGAAGGAUCAUUAACAAAUUUUCCACAACCACACAUGUGAACCGUUACCUCAUUCUUGGUGAGCACCCGGCAAGUGCAGCGCGCUAGCGCGUUGUGUUUGUUCCGGGACUCACCGCUAUUUUUAACACCCUUCAAAAACUUGUGCUGACUUUAAAAACAACAAAUUUAAAGACAACUUUUAGCAACGGAUCUCUUGGCUCUC